AUUAAUUUUUUAAAAUCAGAUAAUUGGUGGAUUGACUAAUCAAUGAAGUCAUCAUCUCAGUGAAUUACAUGUGUACAAAUUUUCGUCAUAAUAUAGUUAGACUGACGCAAUAAGAAGUGAUUCUUAGUUUACGUUUUAAAUCGUAAGCAAGAAGAUAGAACCAAUGAGAAAGCUCCGUUCACAGGGGCUCGACUAGCGUCUCUCUAACUUUCGUCUCGAAUAUAUUAUUUUUCCUUUGAAUCCUUUCCUUUCAACGUUAAUGCAUAUAAAUGGAAUUAUCCGAAUGAAAAAUGUAUUUUCAAUAUUUUAAUCUAUAUGUACUUUUUCUGAGCAACGAAAUAUCAUUUCGUUAAUUCUCACAUUCUUUUUCACUAUCAAUAAACAGUAGUUGUUUAUUGUUAGUGUUAGUGAUGGAAAGACUCGUGUUGGAUGUAAUUUUCGAUCGGCACGCUUUCUAUUCGUAGAAUUGGCGUUUCUUCCUUCUUUUUACAAUUAGAUUGCAUAGAAGAAGAUUUUUCGCACGAUCCAUCUUAGGAUGGAAUUUUCUAUGAAAAUAUUCCAAGCAGGGAUUCUCACAAUCAUUAUUUUAACAUUUUUAUCGAAUUUCAAAUUACCAAUUGCCGCUUGUAUAACUAACCUUGGAAUCAGAAAAGUAUGAAGCUCGCGAGAUAAUGGGCUCAACGUCUAACGCACCUUUUAUAUAAGAGAAACUCGAUCUUCGAUUAUUAUAGGAUAGAUAGGCGUUCUAUUAUAACUGUAUUCUAGGAGCAGCAAGUGUGCUAACAACAAAAAAAUAUAUAUUUCAUGACAGCAACACAUCUCAGGUUUACAUGAUCUUCAGUUACAUUUGUAUCAUGGUAAACGAAUGAGUCCGAGAAAACGAACGAGGAAGAUCGAGUUGACACGUGAUUUAUAUUACUUUUACACGCUCAGAUAUUCGUAAUUCAACAUCAAAGAAGAUUUUUGUAGAAGGACUCUCCCCACCGUUAUUUUGAGAUAACAUACAUCUGUAAAUGUUUACAAAGAUAUACAAAUUGAUACGAUAAACGAUAUCUAAAAUUAGUUCAUUAAACUAGUUAUAAAUAAUAUUUGAAUAGCUUGAAAAAUAAAUGUUUCUAUGUAAUUAUUUUCUUGUUAAUUUUAAAUGUAGGGUAUUUUUGUUCGAUUCAGUAUAAUGAUGAAGGAAUAAUCUAUCCUUAAGUUUGAACGAUUCUAUUGGUCGAGCCUCUAGCCGAGCCUCUUUAUCGUACUCUCUUUCACACUGCUAUAAAUAUCAAAUUAUACAGGGUGAACCGUUUGUAAUGAUCGGUUUGAUUUUAUCUAAAAAUAUAUAAAAACACAAAACAUUAAAGAUUUGAAGUAAAAAAAAUAUAUUGUCUAUUAAAGUUAUUUACAUUUGCCAAGCCAAUAUAACUAUGCAUAGAUAAGCAGCACCAACAGGCAAAUACGAAUGGCAUACUUAAAAAAGAUAAAAAUAACCGAUCAAAGUUCAAAAUACGCAAUUCAUAUGACUAGUAUUUUGUUAACUUUGACAAAAUUCACAUGCAAAGAUAUAAGAAUAUAAUCAAAAUGAAGGUGAUUUUGAAAAGGUCACUCGUCGCGUGUUAUCCUCUAUCAUUAAAUUAUAUUCUUAAGGUAUAUUAUAAGAUUCUAUCGCGCGCGUUCGUUUGAAGGUCAAAGGUUUCAAGGCCCCAAGCCAGUGUUAUCAUUAAUACUAAACGUAACUAUAAACAAUUACUUAAUUAUACUCUGUUAAUAAGUUAAAUGAUUGAACGCAUAAAUACGUUAUUAUCUAUUGGCAUAAGAACGCAACGUUGUUAUAAUAAAUGAAUUAUAUAAAUAUGAAUAGAAACAAAUGGAAUUGUAGAUAACAGUAUGUAAACGUAAAGGACAAACAUGAGUGUGUGUUGUAACGACGUAUGCCAGCUCUUGAUUCUAGCUUGACAAUCUGAUUGGUCGAGCCUCUAGUCGAGCCUCCAUCGUAAAUGACCUAAUGACGCGGAAAAGAGAAUGCACAUGUGCUAUAUAUGUUAAAGGACAGGAUCAAAGUGAAGAGUGGGAGGGGGGGGAAGAGAGAGUUAGGGAAAGAGAGACAAAUAAAUAUAAAGAAAGGAGAAGGGAGUAUUCAUGUCCUUCAGCUAUUUGCGAGUAACUGGAAGAAUGGUGGGACCGCGCGAUCCGAAUUGACCAAUCACGAAUAAGUAGCUCUAUUAUAAGUAGACUCUAUAUACAGUUUAACUUAAUUGACGAGAAUUUAAUCAUUUUUCCCGUUUAUCUUCCUCAUGAUAUUUCUUUUUUAUAUCAUUUUUUCUUCAUUAUUUUUUUUUAUUUUUUCUAUUUGUACACUUUGUAAAAAUAAUGACUUAUAACUACUGCAUAAACGAUUGAUGAUUAUUUAUACUACAAGGAAAAAUAUAUUUUCAAUUUAGUCAUUUUAUUGUCUAGUUGUGAAAUAUAGAAUUAAAAUUGAUGCAAUUAACAACACGUGUAUCGAUCAUAAUGCAAUGUUUCAAAAAGGAAUAAAAGAAAAACACAUGGCAGACGAGACACAAUUGGGCUUUUCUUUCAUUGAAAUUUGAAUUAGUAGUUCGCUUUUCGAUUGGCAUCGUUGGUCUUUCUCUCGUUUGACCUUUAUUCGCAACGUCAGGAAACGAUGUAUCUAUUAUGUAUCUGUUAUGUAUCUAUUAUGUAUGUAUGGUUGAUAUAAAGAAGAAUUCUUUCUCUCUAACACACGAUAUUUAUUCGAUGAUACUAUACAAUGUUGUUACAAUCAUUCCAAAUUUACCAUUCUUCUCACGGUUAAUCUCAAUCGUAAGAGUCAUUUUAAUUGUUCAUUAAUAUUGUUGACAACAACUAAUCGUAAUUAAAAUUCCAAAGGAACGAAACUCAACUAUGUAAUAUCUCGAUUCGCGUUCUUCUUGCGAAUAAAUUAUACGAUUAUGCAAUUUGUUAAGUUAACGAGCACCGGGUUGCCGCCGUCGCCACCGUUCGCCGCGUCCGUUGUGUGGAAUUUGUUCUUUCAAAAGUGACGCAAUUUUUGAUGAGAUUCUUGCGACAAGUAUUUUCGAUAAAUAUUGUAAACAGCUUGAAAUAUAUACUUCGAACGGUGUACUUUGAUCUAAUUUGCAAUUGAAAAAGAGGUGUAUACAAGUAUUUUCAUCGCUGAUCGCUUUUGAUAUUUUUCAUUUCAACGUAUCACAGCGUGUUUAUUAGACACACCUAAAUAUUUGAGAGAUUAAUGAGAAUACGAACUGAUAUUUUUGUAUAGAUCUACAACUACUGCGUAGAUUCGCAGUGCGUUUACGAUUAUGAUCUGGAAACGAUCGACAAAGUGUUUCGAAUUACGAGUAUAUUUCUACUUUUGAUUCAUCAUUCUCGCUUUUUUUUUUUUUUUUUUUUUUAAUAAGGAAAUAAUUUCAAUGAAAUAUUUCAUUGUAUCAUAGUAUAAUUAACCUUUUCCAUUUGCACCGAUGACUUUAGUCGCCCUUUAGUUCAAUUUCUUUUUUUCAUUGAUUCUUAACUUUAGUUAUAUUAGUUUGAGACAAAUUGAAUAAGAAAGUCAUUGAUAAAUUAAUACGAUUAGUAAUGAUUAUUUUGAUUAUUAAUUAUUGAUUUAUUAUUAAAGAUUUGUUGUAAUCGCGCUAAUCAUUUCUCGGAUUCUAGAUGAAUUAAAUAUAUCAGUCGAAGUUUCUCGAAGUUUGAAG